rnacentral:rRNA from 1 species
GAUGAACGCUGGCGGCGUGCCUAAUACAUGCAAGUCGAGCGAACAGAUGAGGAGCUUGCUCCUCUGACGUUAGCGGCGGACGGGUGAGUAACACGUGGAUAACCUACCUAUAAGACUGGGAUAACUUCGGGAAACCGGAGCUAAUACCGGAUAAUAUAUUGAACCGCAUGGUUCAAUAGUGAAAGACGGUUUUGCUGUCACUUAUAGAUGGAUCCGCGCCGCAUUAGCUAGUUGGUAAGGUAACGGCUUACCAAGGCAACGAUGCGUAGCCGACCUGAGAGGGGGAUCGGCCACACUGGAACUGAGACACGGUCCAGACUCCUACGGGAGGCAGCAGUAGGGAAUCUUCCGCAAUGGGCGAAAGCCUGACGGAGCAACGCCGCGUGAGUGAUGAAGGUCUUCGGAUCGUAAAACUCUGUUAUUAGGGAAGAACAAAUGUGUAAGUAACUAUGCACGUCUUGACGGUACCUAAUCAGAAAGCCACGGCUACUACGUG